rnacentral:rRNA from 1 species
CCUACGGGAGGCAGCAGUGGGGAAUAUUGCGCAAUGGGCGAAAGCCUGACGCAGCGACGCCGCAUGAGGGAUGAAGGUCUUCGGAUCGUAAACCUCUGUCAGCAGGGAAGAACGGUCACUGUGCUAAUCAGCAGUGAAUUGACGGUACCUGCAAAGGAAGCACCGGCUAACUCCGUGCCAGCAGCCGCGGUAAUACGGAGGGUGCGAGCGUUAAUCGGAAUUACUGGGCGUAAAGCGCUCGUAGGCGGUAUGUCAAGUCAAGGGGGAAAUCCCCGCGCUCAACGUGGGAACUGCCUUUGAAACUGGCAAACUGGAGUGUGUGAGAGGAUAGUGGAAUUCCAGGUGUAGGAGUGAAAUCCGUAGAUAUCUGGAGGAACAUCAGUGGCGAAGGCGACUAUCUGGCACAUAACUGACGCUGAGGAGCGAAAGCGUGGGUAGCAAACAGGAUUAGAUACCCCAGUAGUC